GCCCUGGUGUAGUUGCAAUCGAGGAGCAAUGGUGCUUGGAGUAUAUCUAGGCUUCGAUGUUUUGGGGAACUCAAUUCACCAUUUAGAACACAAGGAAAAUUAUACAUUUCGGGGAAUAUGAACAAGGAGGCUAUUCCCUGUCGGACUGCUUCAUUGAAAUUCACAAUUGACAAUAUUCUUAAUCUGAAGCAAAACAACAAGAGCAAUUUAGACGCAUAUGAUGCAAAAGGGCAGAGCGACACCAGGUGUACAAAUUAUUUUACGCCCCGAUAUGAGGACUACGAUGUUCAGAGAAGUCAUGAGUCAGACUACACAACCCACGAAACAGCGCAAACAAACAGCGCCCACCACGAUGCAGCUUGUGUGCGUUCAGUCUGUGCGGAGGACGUCGACGCAACGAAGAUGAUUGACACUUGUCCAAGGACAGAGAGUACGAGCAGCUGCGACGAUGUAUCUGAGCAACAUGAAGGAAACUCGAAAACCAAAGCAAUGGCAAAGAAGAAAACACGCACGAUAUUCUCCAAGAGACAGAUUUUUCAGCUGGAAUCUACCUUUGACAUGAAAAGAUACCUGAGCAGUGCAGAACGGGCAUGUCUGGCGAAUUCCUUACAACUUACCGAGACUCAAGUGAAAAUUUGGUUCCAGAAUCGCCGGAAUAAAUUGAAGCGACAGCUAUCCACCGACAUCGAAGGACCAGUUCCAGUCGACCACUUUUCAGAUUCCGGGAAAAAUGUGCAAUUACCAACUAUUUACAAAGAUCACAACAUAUUGGGUGGAUGUUUACUACCAAUGCCUUUCCCUGUUAUGUAUCCAGGAAACAGUGCGCCUUACAUUUAUUUCUCAAACGCUGGUAAAUAUUUUAGCAUUUUCGAUGCAGACGGUUGACUUUUAGGGACGUAGCCAACUCUGGAAAGCGCUACCCAGUCGACAUCCAUUCCAGUCAAAAACGUUUGGAAUUAGAGCGCCAACUGACACGCGUUAGUAAUGUUUUUAUUUUUUAAACUUCAUUUUCAAGGAUGUUAAUAUAAAUUAAGCAUCACUGAAUAUGCCCACUUUCUUCAGUGUACACACAUAUUAAUAGGCCAUUCAGUUUAUGGUAGCUCUCGUGACAUUUGCGUCAUUGACCAAAGCAAGACGUGCAUGUGCCAAGUUCAGUCCUUCACUUGCGAAACAUUUAGUUAGUACAACGUUAUAUGGUUUCGAGUUGAAUUAAAGAAUUUGGCACAAGGAGAGCCUAUAUUGUCGAGAUAGCCUACACGUUAGUAUUAUUUUAUAUUAUUAUAAAGCAUUAUCAUUAUUUUUCAUAUUCUUCACACAGUUAUUUCGUCUAUGAAUACACACCAUACCAAAGUAGGAUCUAUGCAUGAAUUAUUGGACUUUGAUCCAUUUUAUUUUGUACAGUAAUGGCAUUUGAAUGAAUGUGUGUUUAUGUUUUGCUUGGUAUUUGAUGUUUGAACCAUUGCUUCACUUGAUUAGACCAACGUUAUUAUCAGCACCGUUAGUAGUUACUUGCUUCCUAUAGUUCCAUAUAAGAUUUUCUUACUAUUAUAGCUAUACUCUGUCUUGAAUUGUUGACAUAUCUUUUUCUGUGAAGUCGAAUUAGCGUUUAAUUUAUAUGGCCUUACCUUUGCAGUUCCAUGUUCAUUUGAAAUACAGCAUUUGUCUAAAACUAUUUCAUCUUAUUAUCUAAAAGCAUUUCAAAAUGACAGAUUAUAAAGCUGUUGACUUAUAUCAUGAAGAUGAUAAUAUGCAAUAAAAAUGUUGUAACGUU